UUGGCUCUCAUGGGGAUCAUCCCCAGAAGAUUUCACACCAAGCAAUGUCUCCAGAAAGAUUUCCCUUGGGACAUCUCCUCCUCAGGGAGCUGUUCUUGUGGACCUCUCACUGUCUGGAACUCAGCUCUGGGAUGAACACCAUGGAGGGAGCUGAGAAGAGCAGGAAAGGCCCAGCCCCCAGGACUGCCAGUCUCACUAGCAUUGAGGCAUUGUUGUGACUGCUUUUAAGAAGGCUCCAAAAUGACUGCUCAAUUUUCAAUGCAACCAUUCAGGCCCUCCUCAUCGAUCAGCAGCCAGACACCUCUCAAAUCAAAUAUCUUGCAAGCCCUCCCAGUAACAGAUCCGCUGCAGGGUGAGUGCUGCCGGCUCUCCAUCACGGGGAUGGCCAUCCAUCAGUCUGCUGAGGGGCCAUUAUUAAUAACCAGUGGGAAAAUAUCUACAUGGCUGCUCCAUCAUUGUGAUUGCCCUUAAAUAUUACUUAAAGAAGAAACACAGUCAAUAUGCUUAAUCUAUGGUUUUCUCUGAACGUUUUGGUAACAAUUCAUUUUAAGUUGUAGGCAAUGUCCAAUGACUGACUAUAGUAAAUCUGCAGUUUAGUAUAGCCACGUCUCUAAUCUGACCAGCUAAACAGAGAGAUGCACCUAUUCCCUUUGUGCUCCACUGCCAACAUGCAGAAGCAGUGCAGCGGAGACCUCUUGUUCAGCUAGCUGUACUGCCCCCUUGAGGCAGCACCAUAUCCUGGUAUCAGUAAAACCCUGAGCAGGUCCCAUCAGUACAACGGUGGAUGUCUGCCCUUCUGAUCACUGUCAUGAGUGGGCUGUUGGCAGCCAGAGCCUAAAUAUCUCUGGUUCCUACUGUUGGACUAGUAAAUCUCCGUCAUUAUUUAGUUUUGAAUGCUCCACUUCCGUCAAAGUGCCUUUGUGCCCCAGCCAUUCUGGGAGAACCCUCUCUGCAGGGCUCCCCAAGGUCACUGACCUGCUGGCCCUGGCUGGCCCUGUCCUGGGUAGGAGGUGCUGAAUGAAAUUAGCACUGGAGGACUGCAGGACCAGGGUCUGAGUUUGCCUUGUAAGUGGGUUAACUGUCAUCCUGCUGUCUUUGUUAAACUAUAGUUUUUCUUAGCAAAUCCUUUUUUAAUGCAAAGUGCAGAAGCAAACUACAGCCUGGUUUUGGUAGAAU